rnacentral:rRNA from 1 species
AUGCAGUUGGUACGGUCUGGCAAGACCGCGAUUAACAUUAACGGUGAUGUGGGGCCGUUCUUCUCGUCCUCUGCGGGAGUGAAGCAAGGGGAUAUGAUAUCCCCUCUUCUCUUCAACCUUGCCAUGGACGCUCUGGCUGGCAUCCUGGACAAAGCCAGGAGGGCCGGUCAUCUCUCGGGAGUUGUUGGUCACCUCAUUUCGAGAGGAGGGGUCACCCAUCUCCAAUACGCCGAUGACACCAUGAUUAUGGUG